rnacentral:rRNA from 1 species
AUUGAACGCUGGCGGCAGGCCUAACACAUGCAAGUCGAACGGUAACAGGAAGAAGCUUGCUUCUUUGCUGACGAGUGGCGGACGGGUGAGUAAUGUCUGGGAAACUGCCUGAUGGAGGGGGAUAACUACUGGAAACGGUAGCUAAUACCGCAUAACGUCGCAAGACCAAAGAGGGGGACCUUCGGGCCUCUUGCCAUCGGAUGUGCCCAGAUGGGAUUAGCUAGUAGGUGGGGUAACGGCUCACCUAGGCGACGAUCCCUAGCUGGUCUGAGAGGAUGACCAGCCACACUGGAACUGAGACACGGUCCAGACUCCUACGGGAGGCAGCAGUGGGGAAUAUUGCACAAUGGGCGCAAGCCUGAUGCAGCCAUGCCGCGUGUAUGAAGAAGGCCUUCGGGUUGUAAAGUUCUUUCAUCGGGGAGGAAGGGAGUAAAGUUAAUACCUUUACUCAUUGACGUUACCCGCAGAAGAAGCACCGGCUAACUCCGUG